rnacentral:rRNA from 1 species
CCUACGGGAGGCAGCAGUGGGGAAUAUUGCACAAUGGGGGGAACCCUGAUGCAGCAACGCCGCGUGAAGGAAGAAGUAAUUCGUUAUGUAAACUUCUAUCGACAGGGAAGAAAGAAAUGACGGUACCUGAACAAGAAGCCCCGGCUAACUACGUGCCAGCAGCCGCGGUAAUACGUAGGGGGCAAGCGUUAUCCGGAAUUACUGGGUGUAAAGGGAGCGUAGACGGUUAAGUAAGUCUGGAGUGAAAGGCCGGGGCCCAACCCCGGGACUGCUCUGGAAACUAUUGAACUU